rnacentral:lncRNA from 1 species
GUCCUGCCUUUGCUCCAAGCUCAUGAGGAGUCUAGAUCCAGGCUAGAGUUCAGUGUCAUUAGCACCGGCUGGUUCAAGCCAUGCUUCAUGGGGCUUCUGGAAUUCCGGCAAAACCAGUCCUUUGGAGUGCUACAACGCAUGGCCCGAAGGCACGAGGAGAAGGAAACGACUUGCUGGCCAGGUUUGAAAUGGAAGUAGAAAUCUCAGAACACUUCAUAAAUCUAGGAGGGCUCCCUCAUGCCUUUUGGCAAACCACUG